GCGGGCGUGGCGGAAUUGGCAGACGCGCAAGACUAAGGAUCUUGUGGUUGUAUUACUGUGAAGGUUCAAAUCCUUUCGCCCGCACCA
rnacentral:tRNA from 1 species